rnacentral:rRNA from 1 species
ACAUACGACCAUAGGACAUUUCCCGAAAACAUUCGAUCCCGUUCGCUCUCGAGAAGUUGAACGGUGUACCGGCGGACUAGUAGUCAGGUGGGUGACCACUGGCGAAUCCCCGCUGUUGUAUGUU